rnacentral:tRNA from 1 species
GCAUUAGUGGUUCAGUGGUAGAAUUUUCACCUUCCAUGUACAAGACCCAGGUUCAAUUCCUGGCCAGUGCA